rnacentral:rRNA from 1 species
AUGGCCAGUCAACAAACGCAUCUGCUACGAGCUUCUUGUCAUGGGUUGCUUUUGGACUUACGGCUCCUCGGCCUAGGCCAUGGGCGUGCAGCAAGAUCGACGAGGAUCCGCACUAGCUUAGCUGCGAGCAGCUGGAAGGCCUAUUUUCCUCUCCUCGUUCGUUUGCAUGGAGGGCAAAUGCACAUCGAAAAAUCCAAGGAAAAGAUAUACUGCGGGGUUCCAGCAGAAUCCGGCGCAACUUGCGCGGCCGAUGGGGCCAGCGCCUUCUUCGUCCAGAACGGCGGCAGCCCGGGCACCCAGAGUUCGGCAAUCUUAAAUGGCCCGGCGGAGGAGAAGGAGGCCGAGCGGAAGAUGGCGAUGUUUUCCGCCGGCGAUGGCGGCCAGGGCGGGCUGCUCUCGGCCUUCUUCAGUAACGGCGGUGACAUGGACAUGCUCAACUCGGCCUUCCUCAAGGGCAUGGAGGAGGCCAAAGUUCUUGCCGACCAACAACACCCUCCUCGAGGCCAUCCCCGGCAAGGAGCGCGGCUUCACCGUCAAGAAGGAGGUGGCGAAUGGAACACCGACGUCCGGCAAUGGCCGGGGCCGCAAAUACAGGUACGACGAGGACGACCUGGAGGCGGAGACCGCCAGGAGCAGCAAGCUGAUGAUGCCGGACAGCGAGGAGACCGGCGCCCGCGAGAUGUUCGACGAAAUAAUGCUGGAGGGGCCAAGAAGAAGAACGGGAAGGCGGCGCGCGCGAAGAAGAGCGAGGCGGUCGACCUGCGCACCAUGCUCAUCCACUGCGCGCAGGCCGUGGCUGCGGGCGACCGCCGGGGCGCGACGGAGCUGCUCAGGCAGAUCAAGCAGCACUCCGGGCCGACGGGAGACGCCACGCAGAGGCUGGCGCACUGCUUCGCCGAGGGGCUGGAGGCGCGGCUGGCGGGCACGCGGAGCCAGGUCUACUGUUUCGCGCGAUCCGCACUCGCCAGCGCCCACGAUGCGUGCUCGUACGCGUACGUCUCGACUGGCAACCAACGGAUAUCUACAUGCAUGCACUAA